rnacentral:rRNA from 1 species
GUGGAUUAGAUACCCUGGUAGUCCACGCCGUAAACGUUGGGCACUAGGUGUGGGGUCUUAUCAACGGAUUCCGUGCCGUAGCUAACGCAUUAAGUGCCCCGCCUGGGGAGUACGGCCGCAAGGCUAAAACUCAAAGGAAUUGACGGGGGCCCGCACAAGCGGCGGAGCAUGUUGCUUAAUUCGAGGCGACGCGAAGAACCUUACCUGGGUUGAACUACGCAGGAAAAGCCACAGAGAUGUGGUGUCCUUCGGGGCCUGUGAUAGGUGGUGCUCGGUUGUCGUCAGCU